rnacentral:rRNA from 1 species
AGUGAACGCUGGCGGUAGGCCUAACACAUGCAAGUCGAACGGCAGCACAGUAAGAGCUUGCUCUUACGGGUGGCGAGUGGCGGGCGGGUGAGGAAUACAUCGGAAUCUACUUUUUCGUGGGGGAUAACGUAGGGAAACUUACGCUAAUACCGCAUACGACCUACGGGUGAAAGCAGGGGAUCUUCGGACCUUGCGCGAUUGAAUGAGCCGAUGUCGGAUUAGCUAGUUGGCGGGGUAAAGGCCCACCAAGGCGACGAUCCGUAGCUGGUCUGAGAGGAUGAUCAGCCACACUGGAACUGAGACACGGUCCAGACUCCUACGGGAGGCAGCAGUGGGGAAUAUUGGACAAUGGGCGCAAGCCUGAUCCAGCCAUACCGCGUGGGUGAAGAAGGCCUUCGGGUUGUAAAGCCCUUUUGUUGGGAAAGAGAAGCAGCAGGUUAAUACCCCGCUGUUCUGACGGUACCCAAAGAAUAAGCACCGGCUAACUUCGUG